rnacentral:rRNA from 1 species
GAUGAACGCUGACAGAAUGCUUAACACAUGCAAGUCUUUGGCGAAGCUGUGCUUGCACCGCCUAGCCAAGGCGGACGGGUGAGUAACGCGUAAGGAACUUGCCCUGCAGUCAGGGAUAACAGACGGAAACGACUGAUAAGACCUGGUAAAGUCAGGCGGACUCAUGUCCAGCCUGAUGAAAAGAGAUGCUGCAGGAGAGCCUUGCGUCCUAUUAGCUUGUUGGUGGGGUAACGGCCCACCAAGGCGAUGAUAGGUAGCCGGCCUGAGAGGGUGGACGGCCACAAGGGGACUGAGAUACGGCCCUUACUCCUACGGGAGGCAGCAGUGGGGAAUAUUGGACAAUGGGGGCAACCCUGAUCCAGCAAUGCUGUGUGCACGAUGAAGGUUUUCGGAUUGUAAAGUGCUUUCAGCAGGGAAGAAAAAAUGACGGUACCUGCAGAAGAAGCGACGGCUAAAUACGUG